UAAUCAAACCUGGGCUCAUUUCCAUGCCAUCCAAAGAAACUCUACCCUUCAGGCUUCCACUUGCAAUUCUUCCCGCGAGACCAUCCAAAAAGUUCUUCCAAUGUCAAUCGUUGUAUCACGACGUUGACCACCACCACCAUGUGCCAUGUUUCCUGUUUAGUGUAGCGAGCUUUGUAAGAAUGAAAACUAAAACAGCAUUGAAAAAGGGAGAUGAAGGAUUUCAGGUACGUUUUAUUUUCCUUCUUUGGGCGUUUCCCAAUUUUUUGGCUUUAGGAGGCCGAAGGGGAGUUAAAUGGAAGCUAAGGCUAGGUGGGGUCAGCGUAGAAGAGGAGCAAAAUCCAAAAUGGAAAUCAAAUUCCAUUCUUUGAAGAAUCCGUAGGGGAUCGUAUUGGUUCUCAAAGAACAAGAAACUUUCUAGUUUUCUUCAUCGCCUGGUUUUUGGCUUGUGCCUAGCGUCUGUGUUUUUCAUUGGAAUUCCUGUUGGGAUUAACAUCCCGACGACAGGUGGGAUUUGGAGUUUGUCAUUUGUGACCACGACAGCAUUGCAACAACGUUUUGUUCUCUGUCAUCAGUGUAGGAAAAAUCGGUCUACUUGGCAGUAAACAAAAGGAAAAUACAGUUUACAAUCUUGAAGCAAUGAGGUCGUUAUUAUUUUAUCUAUUUGAUUGUGAAAUAUUUGUUGCAGUUUAAGUUCUACGGUUAAAUCUGUCA